rnacentral:rRNA from 1 species
GUUUAAUUCGACGAUACGCGAAGAACCUUACCUGGACUUGACAUAGUAGGAACUGUCUAGAGAUAGAUUGGUGUCUGCUUGCAGAAACUUAUAUACAGGUGCUGCACGGCUGUCGUCAGCUCGUGUCGUGAGAUGUUGGGUUAAGUCCCGCAACGAGCGCAACCCUCGUCGUUAGUUGCUAACAGUUCGGCUGAGAACUCUAACGAGACUGCCUACGCAAGUAGGAGGAAGGUGAGGACGACGUCAAGUCAUCAUGGCCCUUACGUCCAGGGCUACACACGUGCUACAAUGGGGUAUACAAAGAGCCGCAAUACCGCGAGGUGGAGCAAAUCUCUUAAAAUAUCUCCCAGUUCGGAUUGUAGUCUGCAACUCGACUACAUGAAGUUGGAAUCGCUAGUAAUCGUAGAUCAGCAAUGCUACGGUGAAUACGUUCCCGGGUCUUGUACUCACCGCCCGUCACACCAUGGGAGUUGAACUCAUUCGAAGCGGGGAUGCUAAAGUAGCUACCUUCCACAGUGGAUUCAGCGACUGGGUGAAGUCGUAACAAGGUAACC